rnacentral:rRNA from 1 species
GAUGAACGCUGGCGGCGUGCCUAAUACAUGCAAGUCGAGCGAACAGAUGAGGAGCUUGCUCCUCUGACGUUAGCGGCGGACGGGUGAGUAACACGUGGAUAACCUACCUAUAAGACUGGGAUAACUUCGGGAAACCGGAGCUAAUACCGGAUAAUAUAUUGAACCGCAUGGUUCAAUAGUGAAAGACGGUUUUGCUGUCACUUAUAGAUGGAUCCGCGCCGCAUUAGCUAGUUGGUAAGGUAACGGCUUACCAAGGCAACGAUGCGUAGCCGACCUGAGAGGGUGAUCGGCCACACUGGAACUGAGACACGGUCCAUACUCCUACGGGAGGCAGCAGUAGGAAAUCUUCCGCAAUGGGCGAAAGCCUGACGGAGCAACGCCGCGUGAGUGAUGAAGGUCUUCGGAUCGUAAAACUCUGUUAUUAGGGAAGAACAAAUGUGUAAGUAACUAUGCACGUCUUGACGGUACCUAAUCAGAAAGCCACGGCUAACUACGUG